rnacentral:rRNA from 1 species
GAUGAACGCUGGCGGCGUGCCUAACACAUGCAAGUCGAGCGGCAGCGAGGGGUGCUUGCACCCUGUCGGCGAGCGGCGGACGGCUGAGUAACGCGUGGGAACGUGCCCCAAAGUGAGGAAUAACUGCCCGAAAGGGUAGCUAAUACCGCAUAUUAUCUUCGGAUCAAAGGAUUUAUCCGCUUUGGGAGCGGCUCGCGUCGGAUUAGGUAGUUGGUGAGGUAAUGGCUCACCAAGCCGACGAUCCGUAGCUGGUCUGAGAGGAUGACCAGCCAGACUGGAACUGAGACACGGUCCAGACUCCUACGGGAGGCAGCAGUGAGGAAUCUUCCACAAUGGGCGAAAGCCUGAUGGAGCAACGCCGCGUGCAGGACGAAGGCCUUCGGGUUGUAAACUGCUUUUAGAAGUGAGGAAUAUGACGGUAACUUAUGAAUAAGGAUCGGCUAACUACGU